rnacentral:tRNA from 2 species
CGCGGGGUGGAGCAGCCUGGUAGCUCGUCGGGCUCAUAACCCGAAGGUCGUUGGUUCGAAUCCAGCCCCCGCUACCA